UACGCAGGGGGCAAGCGUUGUCCGGAAUUAUUGGGCGUAAAGAGCGUGUAGGCGGCCAGAUAAGUCCGCUGUGAAAUCUCGAGGCUCAACUUCGAGCUGUCGGUGGAAACUAUCUGGCUAGAGUCCGGAAGAGGAGAGUGGAAUUCCUGGUGUAGCGGUGAAAUGCGCAGAUAUCAGGAAGAACACCCGUGGCGAAGGCGGCUCUCUGGGACGGUACUGACGCUGAGACGCGAAAGCGUGGGGAGCGAACAGG
rnacentral:rRNA from 1 species